rnacentral:rRNA from 1 species
GGCUCAGAACGAACGCUGGCGGCAGGCUUAACACAUGCAAGUCGAGCGCCCCGCAAGGGGAGCGGCAGACGGGUGAGUAACGCGUGGGAAUCUACCCUUGACUACGGAAUAACGCAGGGAAACUUGUGCUAAUACCGUAUGUGUCCUUCGGGAGAAAGAUUUAUCGGUCAAGGAUGAGCCCGCGUUGGAUUAGCUAGUUGGUGGGGUAAAGGCCUACCAAGGCGACGAUCCAUAGCUGGUCUGAGAGGAUGAUCAGCCACAUUGGGACUGAGACACGGCCCAAACUCCUACGGGAGGCAGCAGUGGGGAAUAUUGGACAAUGGGCGCAAGCCUGAUCCAGCCAUGCCGCGUGAGUGAUGAAGGCCCUAGGGUUGUAAAGCUCUUCACCGGAGAAGAUAAUGACG